AAAUAGAGGCGCGGCAAACAUCAGUACCACGGCAGACGGCUCGGAAAGGCCGCCGUGCGAAAGGGAAUGCCGCCGAAGUAAAUACGGGGUUUCCGUUUCGUAUUUGCUGGUUUGAUAUGAAAUACAUAUCAGACUGUCACUUUAAGUGGAGCGCUAUUU
rnacentral:ncRNA from 1 species